UGCCAGCCGCCGCGGUAAUACGGAGGGGGUUAGCGUUGUUCGGAAUUACUGGGCGUAAAGCGCACGUAGGCGGAUUGGUAAGUUAGAGGUGAAAUCCCAGGGCUCAACCCUGGAACUGCCUUUAAUACUGCUAGUCUUGAGUUCGAGAGAGGUAAGUGGAAUUCCGAGUGUAGAGGUGAAAUUCGUAGAUAUUCGGAGGAACACCAGUGGCGAAGGCGGCUUACUGGCUCGAUACUGACGCUCAGACACGAAGGCUAGGGUAGCGAAAGGGAUUAGAUA
rnacentral:rRNA from 1 species